rnacentral:lncRNA from 1 species
AAUUUUUUACUAGUUAGCAUAAUAAUAAAAAAGGCAGAAGAUAAAAAACUUUUAUGCGGCGCAUCAAGUGACCAUCUAGAAAAAAAAAGUGAUAUACGGUGUAAUCAUAUUUCUACCCUCAACCUUCGUUCGUGUCUUGUAUCACAAUUUUGCGCGAUAGCUUAUUUUCGAUCACUUCAAUACUGUUCGACGCGCGUAACUAUCUCGCGAGCUAUCGGAGCAACGUUGGGCUUUUCGCUUUUACGACCCAAGCUACCGGGUAUAACGUUCAUUUAUAAUACGUAUACACGUGAAGACCGGAACACGUACGCAAGCGUACGUUCGCGAAGAGCGAAGACCGAAGACCGAAGAGGAGGCCGAGAAGGAAGGUCACUCGAUAAUGCUCUCGACGACGACGUGGCCAUUAACCGUGCGAGGAGACGAGGGAUGCGAAACGAGGUGGAGGCGGUGUGUGUGUUCCCUUGCGAUCGCUCGCUCGCUCGGAUGCACGCCCAGGCAUCAGACGUCCUACAUCGAUCACAUCAUCGGUCGAAGGUUCUUCCCGAUACACGCGAUAGGCCCAUCGAUAUAAAUGGAUUUGAGCGAGUCGCGCUCGUUACGACGUUAGUAGAUGAGAAAAUAGAUGAGACGAUUCGAGACACGCCGACGGCGAAGAUCGUGAGUUCGCUUUUCCCGAACACCAUUUUUGCCGCCGUUCAUUCUAAGGAAAUAAAUGUAGUCUCUCUCUCUCUCUCUCUCUCUCUCUCUCUCUCUCUCUUUCGCGCGCGUGUGCGCGAGAGACGUAAACGUCUGUUCGCGUAAGUGUAAACAUAUGUCAUAGCGCGCGUAAAGCGUCGAUCGUAAAAUAUGAGCGACCAUAUUUUACCUAUCUUACGGAGGCAUUACGAACGCAAUUGCGCGGAACCCACUCCCCCCGGCACCUCUGAAAUAUUUUAUGCGCACAAAGUAGAUGGUGCUGAUGCGAUUUUGUCAAAGGUCCCGCUCGUUUAAAACAUUAACGUUCACGCGAGGCGGCUGAAGGUGUACUGAAGAAUACGUGGAGGACACGGUGCGUGCGAUAUGGAACAUGUCAAUGGGACACCUAUCGAUUAUUUGAACUACACACGCUCGCAAUACCGCUGAAAAUCGAAAAGUCACGGUCACUGGCGCAUUUUUAUUAAUACAUGCAAACAUAUUCACGCGAAGCAUUAUCAUUAAGCCAUUCACAGUCGAAACAAGAAAGUCGAACUUGAACCUGUUAUGUGAUUUUUUUUUACUACGCGUAAAGUCACGAAGAAUAUUACGAAAUUUUUUCGUCAUUUCGUUUAUAGCAUCAAACAAAAUAGUCGUCGACCAUAAAAUUGCCAAUUUACAAUUUAAACAAUUUGAUUAAAGGUCAGACAAUUCGAUGUUAUCUAAUAUAAUAUGUUCAGAAUUUCGAUACCAUAUCUAAUUAGAUUUGCUUGGUUUUAUUUACCGCGUGGUGCAUGCCAUUCAAUUACCGGCGAUAAAUUGAUUUUCCGUUCUCUGUUCGUUAAAUAUUCCCGUUUAACGUACGUCGCAUCGUGUAGAAAUAUAUGUCGUAUAAAUAAUACCUAAGAAAUCGCUCGUCUUAAUUAUUUACGUUCGUAUGUUUUAUCUACGAUGUAAAAUAGUAUUACAAAUAAUAUUACGAUUGAAUAAAUGAAAUUAUAAUCCAUCUUACCGCUAGACGCGUUUGUCAGCGGUAAGAUAAAUUAUCAUUUUACGUCGGAUUCAGUCACAGUAUUAUUCAUCGUCGAGUUUGUUGGAUUAAAAAUUAACCCAUUAGUCUCCGUUAAAGUUGCAACAAAAAAAAACAAUUGAAAAUAAAAUUAGAACAUAAAAAAAUACUUCUGAUAUAAAAAACACAUUACAAAAAUUAAUUUUGCAAUAAAUAGUUAUAAAACAGAUUAUUUGCAGUUUUUUGUAAAAUUAAUUCUUGUAAUGUGCUUUUUAUGUCAAAAAUGUGUGAUACUCUGGUUCUAUUUCCAGUUGUUUUUUUUAGACUUGCUGGUCUAACCAUCGACUUUAAUGAGAAGGGUAUGGAACAUGGGAAUGCGUUAUUAUUGUUGUCCAAGUAAAACUUAAUUACGAAUACGCGAUGUACUGUUAAUGACCCUUAUAACUCGUUCUCCUCUCCCCCCCCCUCUCUCUCUCUCUCUCUCUCUCUCUCUCUCUCUCUCUGGGCGAUGGUCCAUCGUUAAACAAAUUUAUCGAGUUAAGACGCGACGUAGUGCUCCUCGAGCACCUAACUGCAUCGUAAAUUAGACGAAAAUGCUACCGCUCUUGCGCUCUCUCUCUCUCCUCUCCUCCUUCUCAUAAUAAACGCUCUCUUUCGCAUAACCGACAUAUUCGUGCAUAUGUACGAUAGCUACGUUUGAGCUAAGCUCAAACUGAGUCGCACACUUGGGAAUUUUCUUCGCAACAAAGUUUCUUGAAAUAGCAAGUAGACUUCUUUUCAACUGUAGUUUCCAGACUUCUUGUGCAUUUAGAAUGAGAUAAGGAUAUAUUCAACAUUUGGAUCGAAAGAAGGGAAGAAAAAACUUAUUAAGAAAGAUAUAUGGAUGAAUUCUAUCAGAACGCUACUUCUCCAAGAUGGUGCAAUAAUCAGACGUAUAUCUAACAAAUGUAAUUAAUUGGAACGAGAAACUCGCGAAUAAGAGAAUUCGUUCUGCGAAAUUGAAUUUGUAAUCGUUGAAAUGAAGGGUUAGAUUGAAAUUGUCUGAAUUUUCUAUCGUUUUCCGCUCUCGACACCUACUACGACAUCACUUCGCAAAUAAUUAGACAAAUAAUUCCUUGAAUUUCUUCUGCAAGGUGCACCAGAAUUAAAUGUCCAAUUUAUAAUAAAAAGCAAUUCUAUUCUAAUUUAUUUUGAAAAGGUAAAUUACGUAACUCCGUUAAAACAACUAAAUAAACAGAAAAAUAAAUUCUAAAAAGUUAAAAAAAACUCGAAAACUUGCAAGUUAAUUUUAUUAAGCUAAGAUCAAGGAGUUUAUCUCUUUACACGAUAAAUCAUUAAUUUCUUCCAAUUCAAUUACUAGAGAAUAUGUUUCAGCAACGUGCGCGCCUUUCGUGAUAACCAAUCGCGCGAUGCACUUUCGUCAAUUAAAUCUACAUUUACACUAAACGGGAAUACAUUUCGAGACCAUCUCAUUUAUAUUUAACAGUGCUAGAAUAAACGCGAUCUUCAUAUUACAUAGAUGAAACUUUGAAUCGCAUGACUAGGCGAGCGUUAAACGCAUCGCUAAUCAGAGACAAGGGCGACCUAUUUCGUAUUUAACGCUAAACGCGACCAUCGCUGAUCCUGAAUUUUCUAUGUCUUAUAUAAAGAUCGUAUCUGCCGCCGCAUCAUUACGUCGGAUCGAAUAGUCACAUCAGAUAGUGACAUUUAGCGCUAGAAGUAUGAUACAAAUAAAAAGUAAUGUGCUAAAUCAUGAUUUAUGGCGCGAGCUUAUUCUAUUAUCGUGUGAAAGCAUGCAAACGCUCGGAGCUAGACUCGGAACGGCUGAAUUAUAUAAAAAUUGAUAACGUACGGUGAGUAAAAAAAAAAAAAAA